AGGCUAUGCUUUACCUGUCACUAUAGUGUCUGUCAGAAAGCCAUCUAACCAACUAUGAUUCUGCCCAAGGACCAUGGCAACUAGUCUCUUUAAUCCUAUAUGGAGAUCUUCCUUAAAGGCCUCUGUGUAGAAUUCCUGAUCAUGACUUCUAGUCAUAUCCUGUACACAAACACUCAUGAUGUGACCAUGAGAAUUGAAACCUGCUGGCAACCACCACCUUCACGGGUUUCAAGGUCCAUUUUUGAACACAUUAUCCCACAAUGUGCUGCAGUCUGCAAGAAAUAAUAGCCUCCCACUUUUAUGGAAAUCUGGUAGCUCCUCCUACAUGAGUCAUGAAAUGUCCCUUCAAAGGCUGAGGAGAGAGCACAACUCUUUUCAAUCUACACUCAAAAAUACAACUCCUGCACUACGAGGGAAUUUCUGCAGCGAUGGCCUCUGACUCGGAUUCCCCUUCAGCCGAUAAGGACUGGCACGGAUCGAAGCAGGUCUACUUGAGCCAGUUGAUUGGAGUCUCUGCUGAAACAAAAGAGGAAUUUCAGCAACUGGUAGAUCUAUUUAUAUGCUUCCUACAGCACCCUGAAGAUGGUUUGAAUGCUCUGCAGUAUGUCAAGAAUUUGGAACUUGCUCUUCGGCGUCUGCAGUCAGACAGUCUCAAACAUGGGCCUUUGUCUGGGUUAAUAUUUGACCUGAACUUCUACAAUGUCUGGGUAAUGUUCAGAAACCAGAAGGUGAGGUUUAAUGCCAAAGUCCAUAACAGGCAUCCAUGUGGGUACAUAUCUCACCACCUGAUCAAAUAUGCCAUUGAAAGAGUUGUCUAUACCACAGACAGGCUGUUUCUGACUGCCCCAUGUUCGGGGGUACAGCUACCUCAACCUCUGGCCUGCAGUCUGUUCGAAAUACUCAAGGAUGUUAGAGGAAAAUGCACAACGGCCUGGAGGCGCUUAGGGGCAGGCCGCAGACAUUUAAUGACAUUUGGGCGCAAUGUGUUGGAUGAAUUUAAUUCUGAGAAGAAGUCACCUGGUGGCAUAUCCAGAGAAGUUGAGGCAUUUAUAAAGAUAUGCUUUCCACAAAUGGACUUAAAUAAAAUUUUAAUUCCAAUUUAUCAGCACGCCAUCAACAUCCCACCAGACUGUGUACCCAGCUGUACUAUUGGAGAUGGAAACAGAAAACGAGCCCCCCACGGUUCGCUAUACAGUAAAGACAUAUCCUCACAAAAGUUCUGCAUCCCAGACCCCCUGUUUGCUUCUCCCACAGAACCAGGGUUGGGGGAGUUGCAUAGGGGUAAUAUGGCACAUUUGCUGCAGAACCCAGAAGAAAUCAUUAACCUGGACCCUCUACACAAUACCACUGAACCCUGUUUGUAUCAAAUGUUUUCAGAGGCGGUGACAAACCCCUCUAAAAAAAGAUGGCUUUCUUCUUUCAACAUGGUCUUUUCAGGACUGUCUCCGAGAGCUCGGCCAGAGACCACUUAUGAACCAUUGGGGCCAUUUUCACCCAUUAGCCCUGGCCCUUCUUCCGCCACAGAAGAGUUCCAGUUUGAAUUUAGCCCUUCUCCUCAAACCUCCCCAGAAACAAGCGAGCAGAGCUACAUACCUACUCCCAACUCAGCUAUGGGCGGAUCCUUUGAGUACACAGGCGCCGUUCAACCACAACUAAUUCCAGAUAAUCACACCUGUUCCGCAAAGAGAUUAAGGGAGAGCGAUGAGGAGGUAAAUUAUUCUUCAGACGGUAGUCCAAACAAGAAACCCACAGCUCGCACUUCUGGGCACGAACAGGCUUAUGGUUUUCUGGCCGAGUUGCUCUCUAGCCACAGGGAUACGCCUGUCCAGCAUAUUGUGCAAUCUGGCUCAACGCCCGCCCCGCCAAUUGUUGAGCCUCAGGGACAAGAUUUUGUUGGAAAACAGGAUGAGACAUGUUCCAACGUGUUCCCAGAACAAAUUACUCAGGAAGCGUGUCCCGGAUCAUCUGAGGACGCGUUCAUCGAUGAUGCUAUAAAGGAAAUAUUUGCAUCGCUGGACUCUAUGGCAAACCAGGACACUGCUGACAGUGACACAUGUUCCAUACUUGACCCCCAAUCACCCACUCCCCCACCCUCCGUUCCCCCAAUAACUACACUCUCGUUGUAUGACAUUUAUGCCAGCAUACUUAGUCCACUCGACCCAAACAGCCUGGAGUCAUAAACGGUGCCAAAUACAAGACAUUUCUAAAUCCUUAAGUAUAAUGUUUAUAUUUAACUGAAUAAAAGAAGUGACGCUAUAAAACCCUCAA
rnacentral:tmRNA from 1 species